GAUGAAGAACGUAGCGAAAUGCGAUAAGUAAUGUGAAUUGCAGAAUUCAGUGAAUCAUCGAAUCUUUGAACGCACAUUGCGCCCGCUGGUAUUCCGGCGGGCAUGCCUGUUCGAGCGUCAUUUCAACCCUCAAGCCCCCGGGUUUGGUGUUGGGGAUCGGCUCUGCCCUUCUGGGCGGUGCCGCCCCCGAAAUACAUUGGCGGUCUCGCUGCAGCCUCCAUUGCGUAGUAGCUAACACCUCGCAACUGGAACGCGGCGCGGCCAUGCCGUAAAACCCCAACUUCUGAAUGUUGACCUCGGAUCAGGUAGGAAUACCCGCUGAACUUAAGCAUAUCAUAGCGGAGGA
rnacentral:misc_RNA from 1 species